AAGAAUCGGUAGACGUUUCGAGCUUCAGCGUGAAUCUGAAGGCUCAAACUUCCACCUCAAAGCUGGGGGGAGACUGAUCGGUAGGGGAGAUUGGAAUUCCUGGUGUGGCGGUGGGAAUGGGCAGAUAUCAGGAGGAACACCGAUGGCGAAGGCAAAUCUAUGGGGCCGUAACUGACGGUGAGGAGCGAAAGCAUGGGGAGCGAACAGGAUUAGAUACCCUGGUAGUCCAUGCCGUAAAACGUUGGGAACUAGAGGUAGGGACCAUUCCACGGUUUCUGUGUCGCAGCUAACGCAUUAAGUUCCCCGCCUGGGGAGUACGGCCGCAAGGCUAAAACUCAAAGGAAUUGACGGGGGCCCGCACAAGCGGCGGAGCAUGCGGAUUAAUUCGAUGCAACGCGAAGAACCUUACCAAGGCUUGACAUGAACGAGACCGGGUCAGAAAUGAUCAACUCUUUGGACACUCGUUUACAGGUGGUGCAUGGUUGUCGUCAGCUCGUGUCGUGAGAUGUUGGGUUAAGUCCCGCAACGAGCGCAACCCUCGUUCUAUGUUGCCAGCACGUUAUGGUGGGAACUCAUAGGAGACUGCCGGGGUCAACUCGGAGGAGAGGUGGGGAUGACGUCAAAUCAUCAUGCCCCUUAUGUCUUGGGCUUCACGCAUGCUACAAUGGCCGGUACAAAGGGCUGCGAUACCGUAAGGUGGAGCGAAUCCCAAAAAGCCGGUCUCAGUUCGGAUUGAGGUCUGCAACUCGACCUCAUGAAGUCGGAGUCGCUAGUAAUCGCAGAUCAGCAACGCUGCGGUGAAUACGUUCCCGGGCCUUGUACACACCGCCCGUCAAGUCAUGAAAGUCGGUAACACCCAACGCCAGUGGCCUAACCUUCGGGAGGGAGCUGUCUAAG
rnacentral:rRNA from 1 species